GACGAACGCUGGCGGCGUGCUUAACACAUGCAAGUCGAACGGAAAGGCCCUGCUUUUGUGGGGUGCUCGAGUGGCGAACGGGUGAGUAACACGUGAGUAACCUGCCCUUGACUUUGGGAUAACUUCAGGAAACUGGGGCUAAUACCGGAUAGGAGCUCCUGCUGCAUGGUGGGGGUUGGAAAGUUUCGGCGGUUGGGGAUGGACUCGCGGCUUAUCAGCUUGUUGGUGGGGUAGUGGCUUACCAAGGCUUUGACGGGUAGCCGGCCUGAAAGGGUGACCGGCACAAUGGGGCUUAGGAUCGGGCCCGAACCCCUAGGGGAGGGACAGGGGGGGAAAUUUGCACAUGGGCGGGAAGCUGAAUCAACAAACCCCCGGGGCGGGAGGAGGCCCUGCGGGUUGAAACCCCCUUCCCCCUGGGACGAAGGGGGGGUGGCGGAAAUGGGUAAAAAAGCCCCGGAUAACUACGU
rnacentral:rRNA from 1 species